UACGAAGGGUGCAAGCGUUACUCGGAAUUACUGGGCGUAAAGGGUGCGUAGGUGGUCGUUUAAGUCCGUUGUGAAAUCCCUGGGCUCAACCUGGGGGCUGCGCUUGAGACGUGCGAUCUUGAGUGGGGAAGAGGGUCGUGGAAUUCCCAGUGUAGAGGUGAAAUUCGUAGAUAUUGGGAAGAACACCGGUGGCGAAGGCGGCGACCUGGUCCUUGACUGACGCUGAGGCGCGAAAGCGUGGGGAGCAAACAGG
rnacentral:rRNA from 1 species